GCUCGGGACCAUGAUUCUCUGUAUCACAGGAAAGCUGCUCAAUUCAUACGAAACUCGAGUGGGAACUCACCCGAAUCUCGGGACGCUUCAUAUCUCCUGAAAUUCGCGAUGAAAUGUCUACGAACGCCCAGGAACUCGAACAAGUGUCCUGUAUUACGUAGGAUCGUAUCAGCUGUCAACCGUUUUCUGUCGCGCUUUUUAUUUUUCAUCCUUUUUCAUCUUGUGCUGUUGAGUAAGAUACCGCGUGUGUGGUAGAAAUAUUCAAGCGGUGACGACAAAGUCCAGAAGAAAACUUCAAGGAACGGUCAUGUUCGUUUUUGUCAAUCUUUCAUCAUCGAAUCCAGAGCAUCGAAAGCUCAAAGAAAUGCAUAUGAAGUGCGGCCACAAAAACAGCGGGAGUUGCCGAAGGCUUUUUUGUUCCAGAGGAUCCACUGGUGGUGUUCGAAGUCGAACAAAAAGGACAUAAUUGGCCUUUGCUGCAUUCGUUGUUCCAGUACUUUAUCAGGUUGCUUGUCCAGAAACCCCAAAUGACCUACAAGAACUGAAUCAAAAGGCUGAAGGAGACAAAAUGCUUAAACGAACACCCAGGCUCAAUUGAUAUUACUAUUAUUAUUAAUCAAUAUUACAAUUAAUCCAUUUCUCUUCGAACCAUGAAUAAAGGUGGAAAGAAGAUAAUGUUAUAAUUUGAAAAAAAAAAUGGUGUUUUUAAU